GAAGGAGGAAGGUGGGGCUUGACCCAUGGCCGGGUCUGGACCACACCAUUGGCUCAUCGCAGUUGUGAUUUGGUAGAAUUUUUGUCUGGGAGAGGAACCCCAUCACAUGUGUGUACAGGAAGUACUGCCAUGCUCUCCACAUCUUUCCUGAAAGGCAUCAUGGGAAGCCAAAGAAGUCAAGGCUUUUUCAGGAUCCCAUAUUAAAUCAACAGAACCUGGAAUAAUCACAGCAAACAGUAAGAGCUACACAGGAGCUUUUGCCUUUCUUCAC
rnacentral:lncRNA from 1 species